rnacentral:rRNA from 1 species
GUCGAGAAUUUUUCACAAUGGGCGAAAGCCUGAUGGAGCGACGCCGCGUGGGGGAUGAAUGGCUUCGGCCCGUAAACCCCUGUCAUUCGCGACCAAGGGAACGCGUCAAAUAAACGCGGUUCUUGAUAGUAGCGAAAGAGGAAGGGACGGCUAACUCUGUGCCAGCAGCCGCGGUAAUACAGAGGUCCCAAGCGUUGUUCGGAUUUACUGGGCGUAAAGGGUGCGCAGGUGGCUGGGUAAGUUCGGUGUGAAAUCUUCGAGCUCAACUCGAAAAUGGCAUCGAAUACUAUUCGGCUUGAGGGUUGGAGGGGAGACUGGAAUUCUCGGUGUAGCAGUGAAAUGCGUAGAGAUCGAGAGGAACACCAGUGGCGAAGGCGAGUCUCUGGACAACUCCUGACACUGAGGCACGAAAGCUAGGGGAGCAAACAGGAUUAGAUACCCUGGUAGUCC